GAAGCUGCAUAACCAGCACACUUCCAGAGAGGACCGAGGAAGAGAGCGUCGCUUCAGCUAGGGAUCUGAUUAGUCAUGCCUGGAGCUAAAGGAGUGGAACUGGGGAUGCAAAUAUUUCUGUUUAGACAGUUGAAGUGGCCAUGCGAGCCCACAGCGAGAGCUGCAGGAGCAGCUACUACAGGGAGCGGGCAGAUUUUAGGGUGUGCAGCUUUGUACAUGGUGUGACUCGGUUGUACAUUCAGGAAUCUCUUUCCUUGUGAUACAUAUUGCUGCACGUGGAAGAUGUUAGGAAAACAGUUGGGUGCAGUUUUGCUGGUUAGUUCUGAACAAACCUAAAGACGUGAGAUUUGAACUCUGUAAGGGAAGAAAGCGAGGAGGAAGAAAGCACUGAGGCUGCCUGUCACCAGGAGGGUUCUGGGCAAAACGGGGUAGAGUGACUUAGGACAGUUCCUCUUAACGACAUCACAGGCAGUAGGGGUUGAGACACAGUGGGGCUGAGACUUGCUUAAAUGUAUAGUUAUUCAGUCAGCCAUUUUCAUAGAAUAAUUGUGGGUUGUCCUGAGCUGCCGAGUUCACACGUUCUGCAGUGGAGCACUCUGUGCCAAUGUGAGAUGUGAGUACACCCAGAUUUCACCUGCCCUAGAA
rnacentral:lncRNA from 1 species